rnacentral:rRNA from 1 species
UACGUAGGGUGCAAGCGUUACUCGGAAUUACUGGGCGUAAAGCGUGCGUAGGUGGUUUGUUAAGUCUGAUGUGAAAGCCCUGGGCUCAACCUGGGGAAUUGCAUUGGAUACUGGCAGGCUAGAGUGCGGUAGAGGAUGGCGGAAUUCCCGGUGUAGCAGUGAAAUGCGUAGAGAUCGGGAGGAACAUCUGUGGCGAAGGCGGCCAUCUGGACCAGCACUGACACUGAGGCACGAAAGCGUGGGGGAGCAAACAGG